UACGGAAGGCAGCAGUGGGGAAUAUUGCACAAUGGGCGCAAGCCUGAUGCAGCCAUGCCGCGUGUAUGAAGAAGGCCUUCGGGUUGUAAAGUACUUUCAGCGGGGAGGAAGGCGGUGAAGUUAAUAGCUUCACCGAUUGACGUUACCCGCAGAAGAAGCACCGGCUAACUCCGUGCCAGCAGCCGCGGUAAUACGGAGGGUGCAAGCGUUAAUCGGAAUUACUGGGUGUAAAGCGCACGCAGGCGGUCUGUCAAGUCGGAUGUGAAAUCCCCCGGGCUUAACCUGGGAACUGCAUUCGAAACUGGCAGGCUAGAGUCUUGUAGAGGGGGUAGAAUUCCAGGUGUAGCGGUGAAAUGCGUAGAGAUCUGGAGGAAUACCGGUGGCGAAGGCGGCCCCUGGGACAAAGACUGACGCUCAGGGUGCGAAAGCGUGGGGAGCAAACAGGAUUAGGAUACC
rnacentral:rRNA from 1 species